CGUUUUAAUUGUUUUGUUAGAAAUGUUACUUUAUCUAUUCCCAAGUGAUUUAUUCAAAGAUUCAUGUCCAGGAGUAAGCGUCCGCGCAUCACCGCUCAGUUGGCACAAGGGCAAGUCUCCAGUGAGUGGGUGAGAGCGCUCUUUGAGUGGGCGAGCAAGAAAGAGUAGAAGAGAGGGUGGGGGGAGGCAGAGAGGUACCGAGGAUUCUGACGUUCUCUGUUGCACAAAACCGCACUGCUUGCUCUGACUGCACUAUUCAUGCUGCUGUAUCCUAGACUGUCUGCUUGAGACGGAGUCAGUUGACCGUUUAGCCCAAUGAAACGUUGCGCUGCUCCACUCUACACCCGUCCCCAACUCUUCUGUCUUUGACAAAUCCGUUUAGUUUCUCUUUAAAACCUUUGAUCGACUGAAGUGUUUUUCCAAGGAAAGAGACCGUUGAAACUGCCAGUAUAACCGGUUAUAAAAACGUGAAGAAGUCACUUGUUUGAAGAACUCUCUCCCCACUGCACGUACUCAACAUGAGCGAGCUCAGAUCCACUGGGAACCCCAACAGCAGCCAGGCGCCUGCGUCGGACAACAAAGAGAAGGCGGUUGACUCCAAGGCCCCAGCGACUGGGGAGGAGGAAGAGGAAGUGGACAUUGACCUGGAAGCACCGGAGACGGAGAAAGCAGCACUCGCCAUCCAGAACCAGUUCAGACGCUUCAAGAAGAACAAGAAGUAGUGACAGAAGGAGAAGAAAGAAAGAAAAAAAAGAAAGAAAAAAAAAGAAAAACUUUCUGCAGAACAGAAAAAUAGUGAUUGAGGAGGACGGGUGGUGUGAGGGUGGAGAAAUUGAGGAAGAGGGGGAGAGGAAGGGAGGAGAGAGGCAAGCAGGAAUUGUGUCAUCGCAAAUUAUAAAACCAACCGAUAUCUUCACUGUGAGAGAGGAAGAGGGGAGGAGAGGACAAGAAAGGAGAGGGAAGGAGAGGAGAGGAGAAGAGAGCAGAGGGGA